UACGGGGGGAGCAAGCGUUGUUCGGAUUUACUGGGCGUAAAGGGCGCGUAGGCGGUCAGCACAAGUCAGUUGUGAAAUCUCCGGGCUUAACUCGGAAAGGUCAACUGAUACUGUGCGACUAGAGUGCAGAAGGGGCAACUGGAAUUCUCGGUGUAGCGGUGAAAUGCGUAGAUAUCGAGAGGAACACCUGCGGCGAAGGCGGCUCUCUGGGACGUGACUGACGCUGAGACGCGAAAGCGUGGGGAGCAAACAGG
rnacentral:rRNA from 1 species